GACAGAGGUGCCAAGCGUUAGGCGGAAUCACUGGGCUUAAAGCGUGUGUAGGCGGAUCGUUAAGUACCUUGUGAAAUCCCACGGCUCAACCGUGGAACUGCUCGGUAUACUGGCGGUCUUGAGCCACCUAGGGGCAACUGGAACAAGCGGUGGAGCGGUGAAAUGCGUAGAUACCAUCAAGAACACCGAUUGCGAAGGCAGCUUACUAGGCUGUAACUGACGCUGAGGCACGAAAGCGUGGGGAGCGAACAGG
rnacentral:rRNA from 1 species